ACUCCUACGGGAGGCAGCAGUGGGGAAUAUUGCACAAUGGGCGCAAGCCUGAUGCAGCCAUGCCGCGUGUAUGAAGAAGGCCUUCGGGUUGUAAAGUACUUUCAGCAGUGAGGAAGGCGGAGUCGUUAAUAGCGGCCUCGUUUGACGUUAGCUGCAGAAGAAGCACCGGCUAACUCCGUGCCAGCAGCCGCGGUAAUACGGAGGGUGCGAGCGUUAAAUCGGAAUUACUGGGCGUAAAGCGCAUGCAGGUGUUUGUUAAGUCAGAUGUGAAAGCCCGGGGCUCAACCUCGGAAUUGCAUUUGAAACUGGCAGACUAGAGUACUGUAGAGGGGGGUAGAAUUUCAGGUGUAGCGGUGAAAUGCGUAGAGAUCUGAAGGAAUACCGGUGGCGAAGGCGGCCCCCUGGACAGAUACUGACACUCAGAUGCGAAAAGCGUGGGGAGCAAACAGGAUUAGAUACCCUGGUAGGAUAGCG
rnacentral:rRNA from 1 species